rnacentral:rRNA from 1 species
UACGUAGGUGGCGAGCGUUGUCCGGAUUUACUGGGCGUAAAGGGAGCGUAGGCGGACUUUUAAGUGAGAUGUGAAAUACUCGGGCUCAACUUGAGUGCUGCAUUUCAAACUGGAAGUCUAGAGUGCAGGAGAGGAGAAUGGAAUUCCUAGUGUAGCGGUGAAAUGCGUAGAGAUUAGGAAGAACACCAGUGGCGAAGGCGAUUCUCUGGACUGUAAAUGACGCUGAGGCUCGAAAGCGUGGGGAGCAAACAGG